UACGUAGGGCGCGAGCGUUGUCCGGAUUUAUUGGGCGUAAAGAGCUCGUAGGCGGCUCAUUGCGUCAACCGUGAAAACCUGCCGCUCAACGGUAGGCUUGCGGUUGAUACGGGUGGGCUGGAGUUCGGUAGGGGAGACUGGAAUUCCUGGUGUAGCGGUGAAAUGCGCAGAUAUCGGGAGGAACACCGGUGGCGAAGGCGGUUCUCUGGGCCUUACCUGACGCUGAGGAGCGAAAGCGUGGGGAGCGAACAGG
rnacentral:rRNA from 1 species